AUUGAACGCUGGCGGCAGGCCUAACACAUGCAAGUCGAGCGGAGCGGCGGACGGGGGAGUAAUGCCUAGGAAUCUGCCUGGUAGUGGGGGAUAACGUCCGGUAACGGGCGCUAAUGCCACAACCUAUCAGAUUCGCCUAGGUCGGAUUAGCUAUGUGGUGGGGUAAAGGCCUACCAAGGCGACGAUCCGUAACUGGUCUGUGUGGAUGAUCAGUCACACUGGAACUGAGAAACGGGCCAGACUCCUACGGGAGGCAGAAGUGGGGAAUAUUGGACAAUGGGCGAAAGCCUGAUCCAGCAAUGCCGCGUGUGUGAAGAAGGUCUUCGGAUUGUAAAGCACUGUAAGUUGGGAGGCGUUACCAACAGAAUAAGCACCGGCUAACUUCGUGCCAGCAGCCGCGGUAAUAC
rnacentral:rRNA from 1 species